AGGAAGUUCAUUUAACUGGAGAUAUGAACCAGGUAGUGGAAACAACUGAUUUGUAAAAGUUAAUUGGCCGUGCAGGCACGUGCGCACUUGCACACGUGCGAGCACAGGACAGUGAAUUAGCAGGCACGCGAUACGCGAGUCAUCACAUACAUACAUGCCUGCGUGCAUAUGCAUCAGUUGAAUGGCUGGUUCUUUCCAUCCGACGCGCUCCCCCAUGCCACAACAUGCAUGCUCGCGCCGCGCGUAGCUCCCUCCGCCACGUGGCCGCUUGGCAUCACCCAGCCGUCGAUAUCACCGAGCCUCCGCAGUUCGCCUUGGUGGAUGACCUGGUGUGCCUGCCGCUUGAGGAACUGUGAGUACUGUGGGCCAGAUCAUCUAGCUGCCAGCCAGUUAUUAUAGAGCUUGUAGUACUAUGAUGGAUGGGUUCCGCUGCUGCUGCUGCUGCUGCAGCUGCCUUUUUCAAUACGUAGUCAGGGCGCGUACUGUCCGCGUCCGUUAGCGGCAGCUGCCGGGAGAGGGGGGAAGUCCCUAGAUGCCUCUGACUUGGCUCCCCGGUACCGUUCACCACGCGCCAAUCCAGACGUUACAUGGGACACAGGCCCGUGUCGUUCAGUGUCCUGUCCUUGUCCCGUCCUGAACUUUCCGCUCCU
rnacentral:lncRNA from 1 species